UCUAGAGUUGUUGUUGUCUGUUUACAUUAAUUGUGUGUGUCCUCCUAACCAUCGUCAAAUGCUCCAAACCUAUCGUUUUGCUUCAGAAGACAUGUAUAAACGAUAGAGUUAUAUAUAGAUUACUUUAAUGAUGGAUGGGUGCACUUUGGAAUUCGAAACGCUGAUCCACAUUCAAGGUCAAUAUAAGCAAGCAAGGUGUUCAUAAAAUGGAUAUUAUUUAGCGAUAUAACUCUGAUUGUGUUCGGCUGAGGAAUGAGAAACAUUAACAUCUUGGAUGACAUCGGGGCAAACACGUGUUUUUACCGGUUUUAUUAUGAACACCCAACACCAUAAUACUAACGGGCUAUCUCAUCCUGCGCUACCUUGAAGAUGUUGGUUAUCUCGUCACGAAAGUGGUGGCUGUUGAUGUGGACUCUGGACAGAAUGCCUGGCUCUCAUAUAAACUACAGAAAGCUACAGACAGAGCGCUGUUUGAAGUGGGUUUACAGAAUGGAGAAAUAAGAACU